GCCUCUGUAUAUGGGCAUUGCUCUUUUAUGUGUCUGUACUGAGGGCGCUGUUACUGGUUUGCAGCUGCUGGCAGCUCGCUGGUAACCAGGGCAGGACUACCUGAAGACGCAGGGAAGGACCAGGGGAGCGGCGCUCUCUCAGAACCUGACCAGAUCUCACCACUGAAGGACCGCAUGGCCAUGUACCAGGCAGCUGUCUCCAAACAGGACACCUCCAGCUACUCCACUGGGGUCAUGGAGGAGUCAGAGGUCUGCUCUCUGCCUGGGGGUUUCGCCGGCGUAAGGAAACAGUUUGAGGAAAUUGCAACGGCACAAAGCUCUGUCGCCCAGUUCCACUACCAGCAGAGAACUAUGCAGGAGAUGUCACACUCAUCAGAGAUGACAGUGAAGAGUAACACUAGAGAAAGUGUCCCGCCCCUCCAGCAGUCUCAGAUGCACCAUCAUGAAAAGGUACAGAACUGCAGUACUGUGAAGAGCAAAGCGCACAGAAUGACUAUCACAAGGAAGGAUAAUUAGGC
rnacentral:lncRNA from 1 species